rnacentral:rRNA from 1 species
CCUACGGGGGGCAGCAGUGAGGAAUAUUGGUCAAUGGGCGAGAGCCUGAACCAGCCAAGUCGCGUGAGGGAGUACUGCCCUAUGGGUUGUAAACCUCUUUUGUCGGGGAGCAAAAGCCGGACGUGUCCGGCUGUGAGAGUACCCGAAGAAAAAGCAUCGGCUAACUCCGUGCCAGCAGCCGCGGUAAUACGGAGGAUGCGAGCGUUAUACGGAUUUAUUGGGGUUAAAGGGUGCGCAGGCGGAUUUUUAAGUCAGCGGUCAAAUCGUGGGGCUCAACCCCAUCCAGCCGUUGAAACUGGGGAUCUAGAGUGUGCGAGAGGUAUGCGGAAUGCGUGGUGUAGCGGUGAAAUGCAUAGAUAUCACGCAGAACCCCGAUUGCGAAGGCAGCAUACCGGUGCACAACUGACGCUCAGGCACGAAAGCGUGGGUAUCGAACAGGAUUAGAUACCCCUGUAGUC